ACUCCUACGGGAGGCAGCAGUGGGGAAUAUUGCACAAUGGGCGCAAGCCUGAUGCAGCAACGCCGCGUGAGGGACGACGGCCUUCGGGUUGUAAACCUCUUUUAGUAGGGAAGAAGCGAAAGUGACGGUACCUGCAGAAAAAGCACCGGCUAACUACGUGCCAGCAGCCGCGGUAAUACGUAGGGUGCAAGCGUUAUCCGGAAUUAUUGGGCGUAAAGAGCUCGUAGGCGGUUUGUCGCGUCUGCUGUGAAAACUGGAGGCUCAACCUCCAGCCUGCAGUGGGUACGGGCAAACUAGAGUGCGGUAGGGGAGAUUGGAAUUCCUGGUGUAGCGGUGGAAUGCGCAGAUAUCAGGAGGAACACCGAUGGCGAAGGCAGAUCUCUGGGCCGUAACUGACGCUGAGGAGCGAAAGCAUGGGGAGCGAACAGGAUUAGAUACCCUGGUAGUCCAUGCCGUAAACGUUGGGAACUAGAUGUGGGGGCCAUUCCACGGCUUCCGUGUCGCAGCUAACGCAUUAAGUUCCCCGCCUGGGGAGUACGGCCGCAAGGCUAAAACUCAAAGGAAUUGACGGGGGCCCGCACAAGCGGCGGAGCAUGCGGAUUAAUUCGAUGCAACGCGAAGAACCUUACCAAGGCUUGACAUAUACCUGAAAAGGCUGGAAACAGUCUCCCCGCAAGGCAGGUAUACAGGUGGUGCAUGGUUGUCGUCAGCUCGUGUCGUGAGAUGUUGGGUUAAGUCCCGCAACGAGCGCAACCCUCGUUCUAUGUUGCCAGCACGUAAUGGUGGGAACUCAUAGGAGACUGCCGGGGUCAACUCGGA
rnacentral:rRNA from 1 species